ACGAAGAGGGAGAGGCUAAUUUGGGAUGUGGAGUCGCCGGUGAUGAUGGUGUUACGAGGGUUGAUGUUGAUGAAGAUUAUGAAGAAGCUGGUGGUAGUAAAGAGAGCAAAGCUAAUAGAUUAUAGAUGAGCCAAUCUCGGUGUUGCUCGAAUCCUUGAGAAAGCUUCAAUUGAUGUCUUUGAAUUUGGAUAUUCUUAAGAGUACUGAAAUCGGAAAGGCUGUUAAUGGUUUGAGGAAACAUGGGUUUUGAUAAGAUUCGCCAACUCGCAAAGACUAUUAUCCUUGAAUGGAAGGAGUUGGUAGCAGAAACUCAAAGCUUUUGAUGCAGACGCAAGAAGUGAAAAGCUCCAGGACCUUAACAAGAAAAACUCAAAGCUCUUGAUGCAGACGCAAAGUUCCAGUUUGCUAAGAGGAAACUUCAAGCGAGCUACCAACAACAUGAGAACGGUUUGUUCCUUUACCUCUUGUGAUUUUUGACUGUGAACAUUUGUGUUUGCAGGUAGAUUCAGGCUGGGACAUUGAUGAAUAACUAUGCACAUAUAUUUGAUGCAAAACCUCUAAUAGGUUUGCCUCAGCAGGACCUCUAAAAGGAAUUCUCAGGUCAAGUAUGUUUGAUGCCAAUGAUGGGAUUCAUUGAGCAAGUCCUUUGGCCAAUAUUUUGUUACUGUGAUGAAAUGACAAAUCACGAGCUGAUGAUGGCGGGGAACCACGAUAUCUCGUUUAGGCAGGAGCAAUAUAUGGAAGCUCGACAGAAUUAUGAGCAUUUUAAUUUUAUUUCCAUUUUUUUUGUAAAACUUUGAUCUAACUCUUUUGUUGGUUUGUAAUGUUAACAAUUAUAUAAACAUAUUUUGUUUAAGUUUAAUUGUCUUUUCAUUUUAA